GACAAGACGCCUUAGACCACUCGGCCACGGCACCUCCAUGCAAUCCAUGCGAGAUCAAAUCGACCGUACAUACGAUACGCGUACUGUAUACACGGAUUGAAAGAAAUCAUGGCUGCCCGACAAAUACUCGAUUCGUACAAUGACAAAAUGUUUGAGAGGAUUGUACGAAAGGAAUAUCUCACACAUUGCUUAUUUGAGGAUGAGGAGGGGAUUAGUAGUACUCGUAAUUAAGCACACAAUGUCACAUGACCCACCGGCGGGACGAACGAACAGCGAGAUACGUACACACUCGACUCGAACACAUCAUUCCAUACCCAACCCCCGGUCGUAGCGGACCUGUUGUAAGAGAGCUGUCACAGUGCCUGGAUAGAUAACAAGAAUAAGGUUCUAGCCUUUUAUGCUCACAAUAAGGUAGCUCCUGAUCAUUUCCAUGUGGUUUCCAAGAGAUGGAUCUCAGGCAUGUCAGAUGUAAAAGAGACUGAUAUAAUGAUUCUUGGUAAGAUGAUAUUCACUGCUACGAAGGUUGCCGAGAAAUUGGGAAUGGACAGAAAUGGUUAUCGUGUAGUGGUGAAUUGUGGUAAACAUGGCUGCAAUGGUUACUCUUGCUUGAAUAUCCAUGUCAUAGGUGGCAUGUUUCUUGGAUGGCCUCCAGGCACCUAGUAGGUGUAAUAUGAUUCAUUUUUGUGAGUUUCAACAGGUAGUUUAUCAAAAUAUUGGUGGUAAUGUUAAUUGAAGUGGGCUUAUAAUAAUCAAUAAUCAUGUAAUAUUUCAUAAAGUGCUUAAUACCAUGUUUCUUAAGUGAAACAUUUUAUUAUCCAAUUUUUAAUGAUGACUGCUAACGAUCAGGUAACAUAGUUGCUAUAUUUAAUUUACAUUAUUAUUUUAGUAUAAGUAUUUUGUAACAUUAUUUCUUCCUCCUGAUCCAGAAGUUAACAGAAAAUUCUGUAAAAAUGGCAAGAUAUUGGCAAUAUUUAGCCAAUUUCAAAUUCAUAUUUUCUGUCUGCCAUUUGUGUAUGAAUUUUGCGAUACAUUUUAUGUGAAUGUUCUUUCUGUGCAUAACUUUCCAGACUUCCGCAGUUGUAUCAGUGCAGGUACAUGUAUUUAAAACCUCUCACAGAAUUCUUUUCAAUUGAAGCAAAUAAUCAAUGUUUAUCAAAUCCAUGUAGAUAUGUUUGUAGAGGGAGCUUUCCAGACGAGAUUUGUAAACGUUGAUUGGUAAAGAGCCUCUCUAAGAUAAUGGGAAUGUGUCAAAAGUAAAUUGUAUAUAAUAUUUGAAUUUAACUUGCUAUUUGUGUGGACUGAGCCUUUAAGAAAAAUCAUAUGUGAUAACUUUGAAAUAGACUAAGGCUUGUAUUCAUACAACCUUUAAUCAUACUUAUUUUUGUUUUUGCAACUUGUACUCUUUCUACUGACUUCUCUUUUGGUUUUGUUUUUAAUAGAAAAAAAAUUGAAGGAAAACAAUUCUGAAUAUAUAAUCAAAAAUAUACAAUCAGAAAAGGCGUAAAUAUUCUUUUAGAAUGCAAAUGCUGUUAAAACAAACACCAACCAACCAACAGCAUAUAUUAUUGUAGCAAGAAUUAAUGUACAAUAGAUGAUUUUGUCAUUGUGAUAUUGUUGGGGUAUGGUUAAAUUUUUAUUAUCCAUGAUGUCUCAUUUAAAGAUUAAUCAUACUUCAUGCAUUCAAUUGUAACUUUGGUCUUGUCUGUUUCUAAAACUCUAGCAUCCUGUCAUUUGUUUAGAAAAAAAGAAACAAUUUAUUUUUAGUUGGUACAUUUUCUUGUAGGGUUAAUGAAAUAUAAUUCAAUGGAUACCAUGCAAGGUGUUUGUGAAGAAAGAAUUUUGUAUGGAACUGCCAUUUUUGUCUCGCCUGCAUAGCGCAGAGCGAGACUGGAGUGGCGGCGUCAACAUCAAAUCUUAACCAAUGAUUAAGUUUUUUAAGUGACAUCAUAACUAAGAAAGAAUAUGGACCUAGUUCAUGAAAUUUUGACGUCAAAUAUGUUGGGAGAACCAACAUCAAAAUCUUAACGUAAGGUUAAGUUUUUAUAAUGGUAUCAUAACCUAAAAAUGAUGUAAGGAUAGGAUUACUAAAUAUCCUGCCUGAGUUUCAGGUCACAUGACUUAUGUCAAAGGUCAUUUAGGGUCAAUGAACGUUGCCCAAGUUUGAGGUAUUUGUUGAAUUACCAUCAUAAAUUUAAAAGUUUAUGGAUCUAGUUCAUAAAACUUGGACAUAAGAGUAAUCAAGUAUCACUCAAAAUCCUGUGUGUGUUUCAGGUCACAUGACCAAAGUCAAUGUCAUUUAAGGUCAAUGAACUUUGGCCAUGUUGAGGUAAUGGUUGAAUUGCCUUCAUAACUUUGUAAGUUUAUGGAUGGAUAUACAGUAUGUAAUUAAUAACAUGUGGACAUAAGGGUAAUCAAGUAUCAGUAACAAGUCUUAGGUCACAUGAUCAAGGUCAAAUGUCAUUUAGGGUCAAUGAACAUAUACAUGUAUAUCAUUAUGUGAAUGGUUUGUUUUGUGAAUAAUUAUUUUAUAGUAGUUUUCAGAGUCAUCACUGCUGCUAUAUUGAAUCAUGUAAUGCAGGCAAGACUGCUAAAGGCACUCCACUUGUUUACUAGCUCUAGCUGAUAGGUGACAUGGAGAUCGAAGGCUGUCCAUUAGAAAUCCAUUUUUUGUCAAAGACCAUCAUAUUAAAGGUUGUUUGUUGUAAUAUACCCUUUUAUGACAAUUAACUUUACAUCUCUAAGGGUCCAUGGUUCAAUGUAAAUUUUUCAAAUUUAAACAGCAACAUGAAUCAUGAUUAGAAACAUGAUUAUAGAACACUAACAAGAUCAGGUUGCACCAUUCAGUGUCAAAAAUAUAAAGCUGUUUAUACAUGUACAUCAGUUGUCUUAAAUUUCCCACUCUCUUUUUGUCUCGCCCACCAGAGGUGAAGGCGAGACAUAGGGAUCAAAAUGUCGUCUGUCGUCCGUCCGUCACAAACCUUAUGACACAAAACUCCGCAACCGUAAGUCACUUUUCGACCACACUUUGAUGAUAGAUGUACUUGGGGGACCUGCAUGUUAUGCUGCAGUUGGAGGUCACAUGGUAAGUCAAAGGUCAUUUUCAGGUCAAUGUUAAAAUUUACAUGCAAGACUCUCUUAUGACACCAAACUCCGCAACCGUAAGUCACUUUUCAACCAAACGUGGAUGGCAGAUGGACUUAGGGGACCUGCUUGAUGCGCUGCAGUCAGAGGUCACAUGGUAAGGUCAAAGGUCAUUUUCAGGUCAACGUUAAAGUUUACAUGCUAGACUCUGUUAUGACACCUAACUCCGCAACUGCAUGUCACUUUUCACCCAAACUUUGAUUGUUGAUGUAGUUAGGAGACCUGCAUGUCAUGCUGCAGUCGCAGGUCACAUGGUAAGGUCAAAGGUCAUUUUGAGAUCAACAUUACAGUUUACUUGCAAGACUCUUAUGACAAGUGUUAUUCUAUCCCAGUCAUUUCACAAUGAAACAAAAUCGCUUAUACCUUUUGUUGCAUUCGCGAUGUUCAAGGUCAUAACAAUAUGAGCUGAUUGCAUUUCCAAACGUACCUUUUUCAGCAUUUGAAAUUUCCUCUGAAUCAAGAUCUGAAAGACAUUUACUUAUACAACUAGAAAUGGAGGACAUUGAAUAUCCACCAUUUUCCCCCAUAUUCAAGUUUUGUAAUCAUGUUUUUAAUCAUGAUUCAAGCUUCUGUUUGAACUUGAAAAUCGACAUUGAACACACCCUAACUCUGAGUGCAAUUUACAUGUAACUCGGGAUAUUAAUCCAGUGUCUUAACCUGCAUUUUAUGGUGCUGUCAAUAGUCAUGCUACAGUUAUAGGUCAUUUCAGGCCAUGUUUGCUAGCAGAACUAUAUCUGAACCUAUAUAAUAUUGUAAGCUUCUGGUUUCAACAAAACUUGAAGUAGUGGUAGAGUAAGUACAGUAUCGUUCAUGACGUGCCAUAGAAAGUCAGAUGUUUAGAUCAAUGGUCACCUGAAAGACUUUCUUUUUAAUGUUUUCCUCCUCAGAUGUAGUUUGGAUUAUCAUAAUUUUUGGGUUAAAACAAAGGAAGAAACUUUCAAAGCCUGCUUAGAUUGGAAAUCCCCAUGCCAUUGUUAAAUUACAUUAAAACCUGACAAAUAUCA